rnacentral:rRNA from 3 species
UUGGUGCCUUCGGGAACUGUGAGACAGGUGCUGCAUGGCUGUCGUCAGCUCGUGUUGUGAAAUGUUGGGUUAAGUCCCGCAACGAGCGCAACCCUUAUCCUUUGUUGCCAGCGGUCCGGCCGGGAACUCAAAGGAGACUGCCAGUGAUAAACUGGAGGAAGGUGGGGAUGACGUCAAGUCAUCAUGGCCCUUACGACCAGGGCUACACACGUGCUACAAUGGCAUAUACAAAGAGAAGCGACCUCGCGAGAGCAAGCGGACCUCAUAAAGUAUGUCGUAGUCCGGAUUGGAGUCUGCAACUCGACUCCAUGAAGUCGGAAUCGCUAGUAAUCGUAGAUCAGAAUGCUACGGUGAAUACGUUCCCGGGCCUUGUACACACCGCCCGUCACACCAUGGGAGUGGGUUGCAAAAGAAGUAGGUAGCUUAACCUUCGGGAGGGCGCUUACCACUUUGUGAUUCAUGACUGGGGUGAAGUCGUAACAAGGUAACCGUAGGGGAACCUGCGGUUGGAUCACCUCCUUA